rnacentral:rRNA from 1 species
AGCGAACGCUGGCGGCAGGCUUAACACAUGCAAGUCGAGCGGACCUUUCGGGGUCAGCGGCGGACGGGUGAGUAACGCGUGGGAACGUGCCUUCCGGUUCGGAAUAACCCUGGGAAACUAGGGCUAAUACCGGAUACGCCCUUAUGGGGAAAGGUUUACUGCCGGAAGAUCGGCCCGCGUCUGAUUAGCUAGUUGGUGGGGUAACGGCCUACCAAGGCGACGAUCAGUAGCUGGUCUGAGAGGAUGAUCAGCCACACUGGGACUGAGACACGGCCCAGACUCCUCCGGGAGGCAGCGGUGGGGAAUAUUAGACAAUGGGCGCAACCCUGAUCCAGCCAUGCCGCGUGAGUGAUGAAGGCCUUAGGUUUGUAAAGCUCUUUUAGCCGGGAAGAUAAUGACGGUACCAGAAGAAGAAGCCCGGGCUAACUCCGUG